CACAUUCUUACCUGCCUGAUCCUGUGUCUUCUUCUUUAUGGUACAGGCCAAGAUGACAUUCACCAAGACGGAGAAGGCCAAAGCUGCACUUAAGAUGUAGACCAGCAACGUGUCACCUGCAGACGGAAGCGUUAUAUGCAGCUACCAGGAAGCAGAUGCUGGAUGAGGCUCUGCUGAAAUGUAUUGUCAAUGACUGCCAGCACCACAGCAUCGUGGAGAGUGAAAGGUUCAGGGAACUGGUGCAGGUCCUUGAGACAUCAUGUUUUGCCUACCAGAAAGACCAUCAAAAAAAUGCUGGUGCAAAAAUAUGAGGAAGAACGGGAACGAGUGAAAUUGGAAGUACAGCAAGCUGUGGUAAUAACCUUUGGAAACAUCUGGAUAUGGAAGUGGGAAGGCAGACAAAAAACUCUACUGCAGAUGCCAUUCAAGACGUCCAACGUUACCUGGCAGAGGGAAAUGUAGCUAGGUCCCAGGCAUACUUGCCAACCCUCCCGGAUUUUCCGGGAGACUCUCAAAAUUCAGCGCCUUUCCCGAAAACCUCCCGGAAGAAAUUUUUUCCCAAAAAUCUCCCGAAAUUCAGCGGAGCUGGAGGCCACGCCCCCUAUAGUUCCAUGCGGACCUGAGUGGGGACAACCUGUUUUCACGUCCGCUUUCCCACUAUAUAAACAGCUUGCCUGCCCAAUCACGUUACAACAUCUACGGAUUUUAAUAAAAAAACUGCACACACAAGGAGAUGAAGCAGAAGAACGAGGAAGUUACAUCCAUGGCGACGCCGUCUGUAAUAGAGUGAUUCUAUGUUGUCUGUUGCCAUCUCCUGGUGAAUGUUGGCUAUAGCGUUAUGGGGUUGCUUUUUGAUUGGCCAACGAUUUACGUGGUGUUGUGCACCUGACGGCAAGUGACUCUCGCCAGUACGCAAAUGACAGAACAAAGGUUACUCAAAUAGUGAAAGUUAAGUGUUUUUUUUUUUUAGUAACCAGCAAGCACAGUACAGUUAGUAGAACAACUGUGUUUUUAUUACUGUGUAUUUGAUAGGUGCCGUCUGAAAUUCAACCAUUUUUUAAUUUAUAUAUAUAAUAAAAUAAAUAUAUAUCGCUAGAAUU